rnacentral:lncRNA from 10 species
CGGCCGCCCAUCAUCUGAGAUGUGGGGAGCGCCUCUGCCCGGCCGCGACCCCGUCUGGGAGGUGAGGAGCGUCUCCGCCCGGCAGCCGCCCCAUCUGAGAAGUGAGGAGCCCCUCCGCCUGGCAGCCGCCCCACCUGAGAAAAGAAACCUCUCUCCUUGAACACCAUUGCCCCUGGCCCACAGCAAGUACUGCCUAGCUACUGCUAAUGUUCACUCAAGGACCAAGGCUCUUCAAUCAGCUGUGGUGAAUGUUGCCAGGCCUGAAACUCUCCCUUCAGGGCAGUGGGCUCUGCUAUGGCCCAGGGAAGGUCCAAAACUGCCAUCCAGGAGCCAAGGCCUGGAAUUAGGGGGCCCAGGAGCCCUCUUGGUGUUCUACCUCACCGUGGCCAAGUUGAUACCCAAGCUGCAAGACAAAGUCACCUCUACUCUUCCCUCUCUCUUCCUCAAGGAGAAGGAGUCUUUUCCUAUGGCCACCACAGCUGGGAAUGCCCUGGGUUAUACUGGAAGUCAGCAUGGCCCUGGGUCUCACCUAAGUUCCAUGCAGAUACUGGUUGCAUUUUGCCUCUGCCCUAGAGAUUUGUGGAACUUCGAACUUGAGAGAGAUGAUUUACAGUACCUGGUGGAAGAAAUUUCAAAGCAGCAAAGCUUUCAAGAGGUGACUUGGGUGCUGUUAAAGUCAUUCAGUUUUAAAGGAAAACAGAGCAUAAAAGUUUGGAAAAUUUGCAGCCUGACAAUGAGAUAGAAGAGAAAAUUCCAUUUUCUGAGGAGAAAUUCAAGCCAGCUGCAGAAAUUUGCAAAAGUAAUGAGGAGCUGAAUGUUAAUCACCAAGACAAUAGGGAAAAUGUCUCCAGCGUGUGUCAGAGACCUUUGUGACAACCCCUCCCUUCACAGGCCAGGAGGUUUAGGAGGAAUAAACGUCUUAAAUAUUGGGUCAGGCCCAUGGUCCCUCCACUGUGUGCAGACUAGAGACUUGGUGCCCUGAAUCCUAGCCACUCUAGUCAUGAAUAAAAGGGGCCAAAGUACAGCUUGGGCUAUUGCUUCAGAGGGUGCAAGCCCCAAGUCUUGGUAGGUUCCACAUGGUGUUGAGCCUUCGGGUGCACAAAAGUCAAGAACUGAGGUUUGGUUACCUCUGCCUAGAUUUUGGAUGAUGCAUGGAAACGCCUGGAUGCCCAGGCAGAAGUUUGCUGCAGGGGCAGAGCCCUCAUGGGGAACUUCUGGUAAGGCAAUGAGGAAGGGAAAUGUGGGAUCAGAGCCACCACACAGAGUCCCUAAUGGGCACCACCUAGUGGAGCUGUGAGAAGAGGGCUACCGUCCUCCAAACCCAGACCCCAGAAUGGUAGAUCCAUCGGCAGCUUGCACCGUGCACCUGGAACAGCCAUCAACACUCAAUGCCAGCCUGUGAAAGCAGCUGGGAGGGAGGCUGUACCCUGCAAUGCCACAGGGGCAGAACUGCACAAGACCAUGGGAACCCAUCUCUUGCAUUAGCGUGACCUAGAUGUGAGACAUGGAAUCAAAGGAGAUCAUUUGGAGCUCCAAGAUUUGACUGCUGGAUUUUGGACUUGCAUGGGGCCUGUGGCCCUCUGUUUUGGCCAAUUUCUCCCAUUUGGAAUGGCUGUAUUUACCCAAUGCCUGUACCCCCAUUGUAUCUAGGAAGUAACUAACUUGCUUUCGAUUUUACAGGCUCAUAGGUGGAAGGGAAUUACCUUAUCUCAGAUGAGACUUUGGACUGUGGACUUUUGAGUUAAUGCUGUAAUGAGUUAAGACUUUGGGGGACUAUUGGGAAAGCAUGAUUGGUUUUGAAAUGUGAAAACAUGAGAUUUGGGAGGAGCCAGAGGCAGAAUGAUAUGACUUGGCUCUGUGUCCCCACCCAAAUCUCAUCUUGUAGCUCCCCUGCUUCCCAUGUGUUGUGGGAGGGACCCAGUGGGAGAUGAUUGAAUCAUUGGGGCUGGUCUUUUUCUGUGCUGUUCUUGUGGUGGUGAAUGCAUCUCAUGAGAUUUGAUGGUUUUGAAAAUGGGAGUUCUCUUCACAAGCUCUUUUUUUGCCUGCUGCCAUCCAUGUAAGACGUGACUUGUUCCUCCUUGCCUUCCACCGUGAUUGUGAGACCUCCCCAGCCACGUGGAACUGUGAGUCCAAUUAAACCUUUUUACUUUGUAAAUUGUCCAGUCUCGAGUAUGUCUUUAUCAGCAGUGUGAAAAUGAACUACCAUAAUAUGCAAACACACAAUUCAUGUUAUGCUCAGAUUCUUCCAUAGUCUAUCAAUAUCACUGACACAAAUUUAUGUUUCCAAAACAAGACUUAGAGCAGGACUGGCUGUGUAUCUAUUAGUGGCUAUUCAUGGGCAGGGCAAGUCAUGAACCACUGUACUUGUUCCAAGUCACCUAGCUGGUCAUUGGCAAAGCCAGGGCUGCAACCUAGCUCUCUAGAUGAAGAGCUGAACUAUCUUACCAGGCCACUAUGCUAUCAUAUCUGUUUGUGAAUACAAGGGAUAAAGUGCAGAACAUGGAAGUGCUUUGAAAGGUAUAAAGUGAUCAAUGUUAUAUGCAACUAGAAAGGCUAUGAGUCUUUUAUUUUGUUCUCUAUGACAAGAGAACAAUAUUUCCACUCUGUUUCUUGUUAUAAAUAACUUUGCCUAAUCCUCUAGAAAAGCAAGUAAGCAGAAACAAGUUAACUAAACCUUAGGUCAAGAGGGAAAUGGGAAGAACUAGCAAAAGGAGAUAAUAACUCUCAGGGAUGGAAGCACCUAGCCAAUUGGAAGGGUGUGAAAAAGCGUGGAAAUAGAAAAUGGGACUGACAAAAUGUACCUUUUCUCUUACAAAUUAACUUGUGUCUUUGUGACGACAGCAUGUUUGGGUCAAGAGUUCUUGACUUUUGAAAUAUAUCAAAAUUCUUAAGGAGAAAGUUUUAUAAAAAUAGAGGUGUUUUUUUUGUGUGUGUGUAUAUGUGUGUGUGUAUAUAUGUGUGUGUGUGUAUACAUAUAUAUAUAUAUAUAUUUUUUUUUUUUUUUUUUUGAGACAGAGUUUUGCUCUUGUUGCCCAGGCUGGAGUGCAAUGGCGCGAUCUUGGCUCAUUGCAAUCUCCACCUCCCGGGUUCAAGCAAUUCUCCUGCCUCAGCCCCCCAAAUAGCUGGGAUUACAGGCAUAAGCCACCAGUCCUGGCUAAUUUUGUAUUUUUAGUAGAGAUGGGGUUUCUCCAUGUUGGUCAAGCUGGUCUCUAAAUCCCGACCUCAGGUGAUCCGCCCACCUCGGCCUCCUGAAUUGCUGGUGUUAAAGGUGUCAGCCACUGAGCCCAGCACAUAAAUACAUAUAUUUAUUAAGAGAAGGUGGUUCAUGUGAUUAUGGAGGCUGAGAAGUCUCACAAUUUGUUGUCUGUAAGUUAGAAACCCAGGAAAUCUGGUGAUGAAUACAGAUUGGAUCAGAGAACCGGGGAGCAGAUGGUGUGAAUCCCACCUGGAAAGCCAGAGAAGAUGAGAUGAAAUGAGACAUCACAGCUCAGCAGUGAGGAAAGACAAACUGGGUGAAUUCCUCCUUUCUCCACCUUUGGUUGGUUUCAGGCCCUCAAAAGACUGGAUGAUUCCCAAACACACUGGAGAGGACAAUCCACUUUACUGAGUCCGCUGCUUCAAAUGCUAAUCUCGUCUAGAAAUACCCUCACAGACACACUUAGAAAUAAUGUUUCAUCCAGACACCCCUUGGCCAGUCAAGUUGCCACAUAGAAUUAACCAUCAUACUCAGUACUACUCAUUUAGAAUUUCUGAUAAUAGGGCACAAGUAUGUGUAUUUGUUAGGGCCAAGUGGCUUUGUUGAGCCUUUUGAGAAAAUAACUAUGAGAAGGGGAGAUUUUGUAACCUGAAGACCAUCACUUAGCCCUAAGGAAGACUACCUCAUUUAUUGGCCUAAAAUCAGAAUUGAUGAAUGGUCUGUUGAUCAUGAUUGCAAAUAUGUCUCUAGUGGUCAGAGUAUAUACCAAUGACUUUUUUUAAAAAUGCAGUUCCUUGUUAAAUGUUAAAUGCAGCUCCUUCCAUAACUCCCUUCCUAUCCAUGGAAAAGGAAGCUAUGGCAGGAACUGCAUUUAACAUUUAACAAGAAUAUAUUUCUGUAUAUAUCCAGAAGUAUAUCCAUAUACUACACUACAGAUAUGUUUCUCUUUUCCCCACAGUCAACCAUUUUAGUAGGCUCAGUUGGGGUACUUUUAUUUGAAUGUGUUACUGAGUUUGUACAUUUUAAAUUUUUAUAGAUGAUAUUGUUAUACUGCUUAUUCUUCUUCCAGUGUUUUCCACUAGGUCCUGUAUUAUUAAAAUCCAGUCAGAUUGCUUUAUAGUCAGUUAAUCCAUUGCUUCUACUAAUGAUUUCAAUGGUGUGUCUAUAUGGUAAAUUUCAGUAGUUGAUCCAGAUCUGUAUCUCUUCCUGUAUUUAUGCCCUUUGCUAAGUAAAUUUUCAGGUCCCUCCCACGUGGACAGAGUGACCUGCCCCAUCCCUUGAAACUGGUCUUGGCCAUGUGAUUUGCUUUGUGAUAAAUGCUGACUUGAUAUAAGCAGAAGCUUAAAAAAGCAUUUGUGUGUUUCCACUAGUUCUUGUACCUCUGUCAUUGUAAUGAAAAGACAUACUCAGCUUAACCUACUGGUCCCAGGAAGAGGAUGAGCAAUAACGUGGAACAGAGCCAACCUAGACGUGUAUAAGUAAGCCAGCUGAACUGUGAAUGUAUGAGCAAGUCAGGCCCAGAUCAAUGGAAUCCCACAGAUGCAUGAGAAAUAAAUGCAUGCUAUUGAGAUUUUGUGGUUGUAUGCAACAUUAUUGUGGCAAUAACUAACCAAUAGACUGUACUAUGAGAAUUUGUAUUCUCUUGCUGAUUUUGAAUUCAGGAUGUCAAUUAUGGGAAGGCUAAUCAUUUGACUCAAGAAUAAAACAACUU